GUGGGGAAUAUUGGACAAUGGGCGAAAGCCUGAUCCAGCCAUGCCGCGUGAGUGAUGAAGGCCUUAGGGUUGUAAAGCUCUUUCAGUAGGGAAGAUAAUGACGGUACCUACAGAAGAAGCCCCGGCUAACUUCGUGCCAGCAGCCGCGGUAAUACGAAGGGGGCUAGCGUUGUUCGGAUUUACUGGGCGUAAAGCGCACGUAGGCGGAUCGUUAAGUCGGGGGUGAAAUCCUGGAGCUCAACUCCAGAACUGCCUUCGAUACUGGCGAUCUUGAGUCCGGAAGAGGUGAGUGGAACUCCUAGUGUAGAGGUGGAAUUCGUAGAUAUUAGGAAGAACACCAGUGGCGAAGGCGGCUCACUGGUCCGGUACUGACGCUGAGGUGCGAAAGCGUGGGGAGCAAACAGGAUUAGAAACCCUAGUAGUCC
rnacentral:rRNA from 1 species